rnacentral:piRNA from 1 species
UUACAUUUCAAUUGUUAUUACCUUUCCCAGU